CAAGAGACGAGAGCCUGAACAGCCUUCUUCAGGAAUACCAGAUCUACUACUGGGAGCUGGAGUCAGAGGUAUGCUCAGCCACCAUGUCCAAGAUGCUCAAAACCCCUCCGGCUUUACGGGCUGAGCUCCCAGCCCUUGGGUUCAGUGGAGAAAUAAUUCACCAUGUCAGUGACUGCAGUGGCCUUAGGCAUGUGGGGAACACAGGAGAUAAAGAUGAAUGAGAGAAGAAGUUUCUAGACCAGUGGGAAGGCAGAUGCUUCAUCAGCCACCGUCUGUUUGCUCCACUUGGCCUCCCAAGCCGGAGAAGCUGGCUAAUAACACUUCGGUGACUGGAACACACCGGACUGGCUCUUCAACGUCAAGUGGGUACGGCUGAUUGUUUUGUGUUUGGGGGAGCUGCAGUCCCUGUCUCGGACUGCACA